rnacentral:rRNA from 1 species
AGUUGGUGGGGUAAAGGCCUACCAAGGCGACGAUCCGUAGCUGGUUUGAGAGGACGACCAGCCACACUGGGACUGAGACGCGGCCCAGACUCCUACGGGAGGCAGCAGUGGGGAAUUUUGGACAAUGGGGGCAACCCUGAUCCAGCCAUGCCGCGUGUGCGAAGAAGGCCUUCGGGUUGUAAAGCACUUUUGGCAGGAAAGAAACGGCGCCGGAUAAUACCUGGCGUAACUGACGGUACCUGCAGAAUAAGCACCGGCUAACUACGUGCCAGCAGCCGCGGUAAUACGUAGGGUGCAAGCGUUAAUCGGAAUUACUGGGCGUAAAGCGUGCGCAGGCGGUUCGGAAAGAAAGAUGUGAAAUCCCAGGGCUCAACCUUGGAACUGCAUUUUUAACUCCCGAACUAGAGUAUGUCAGAGGGGGGUGGAAUUCCACGUGUAGCAGUGAAAUGCGUAGAUAUGUGGGGGAACACCGAUGGCGAAGGCAGCCCCCUGGGAUAAUACUGACGCUCAUGCACGAAAGCGUGGGGAGCAAACAGGAUUAGAUACCCUGGUAGUCCACGCCCUAAACGAUGUCAACUAGCUGUUGGGUUCUUCGGAGCUUGGUAGCGCAGCUAACGCGUGAAGUUGACCGCCUGGGGAGUACGGUCGCAAGAUUAAAACUCAAAGGAAUUGACGGGGACCCGCACAAGCGGUGGAUGAUGUGGAUUAAUUCGAUGCGACGCGAAAAACCUUACCUACCCUUGACAUGUCUGGAAUCCUGAAGAGAUUUAGGAGUGCUCGAAAGAGAACCGGAACACAGGUGCUGCAUGGCCGUCGUCAGCUCGUGUCGUGAGAUGUUGGGUUAAGUCCCGCAACGAGCGCAACCCUUGUCAUUAGUUGCUACGAAAGGGCACUCUAAUGAGACUGCCGGUGACAAACCGGAGGAAGGUGGGGAUGACGUCAG